CCUGUACAGGGGGAUAACAGUCAGAAAUGACUGCUAAUACCGCAUAAGACCACAGCACCGCAUGGUGCAGGGGUAAAAACUCCGGUGGUACAGGAUGGACCCGCGUCUGAUUAGCUGGUUGGUGAGGUAACGGCUCACCAAGGCGACGAUCAGUAGCCGGCUUGAGAGAGUGAACGGCCACAUUGGGACUGAGACACGGCCCAAACUCCUACGGGAGGCAGCAGUGGGGAAUAUUGCACAAUGGGGGAAACCCUGAUGCAGCGACGCCGCGUGAGUGAAGAAGUAUCUCGGUAUGUAAAGCUCUAUCAGCAGGGAAGAAAAUGACGGUACCUGACUAAGAAGCCCCGGCUAACUACGUGCCAGCAGCCGCGGUAAUACGUAGGGGGCAAGCGUUAUCCGGAAUUACUGGGUGUAAAGGGUGCGUAGGUGGUAUGGCAAGUCAGAAGUGAAACCCAGGGCUUAACUCUGGGACUGCUUUUGAAACUGUCAGACUGGAGUGCAGGAGAGGUAAGCGGAAUUCCUAGUGUAGCGGUGAAAUGCGUAGAUAUUAGGAGUAACAUCAGUGGCGAAGGCGGCUUACUGGAC
rnacentral:rRNA from 1 species